ensembl:lncRNA
UCCACAUGAACAUGAUCACAACAGAAAACUACUUCGGAAGAAGAAGCCGCUCUCACUGAGAACUUUGGCCACCAAAGCUUGUGACUGCCUCAUCGUUCUCCUCUCAGAGAUCUGGGGUCGCGAAAGUCACCGGUUACGUUGACUUUAUCAACCCCAAACAGCGUGAUGAAAUAGAAAAACGUUGUCUGCCGCCUGAAGACCAGUUGACCUGGGCCGAUUCUCCUCGCCGGUCAAUGUGAGCCUCUGGACCCUCAGCGCCUCCUUCACCUGAACCAAGAGAUAAUACCGGGGAUGGAGGGAACCAGCUUUUCUGGCCGUUCCGAUGUUUGCUCUGGCCACGGAGAAGAGGCCGGGACACCAAAUCCUCAACCAGCAGGCAACGAGCUAACACUGGAAGUAAAGAAGAAGUCAUCCCUCUGAAAAUCGGUUUGUUGUCUGCUGGCCCUCAUGUGAAUGGAGACUCUGUUGGAGGAGACAGCUGAUUUCAGAACACAUGGCCUGCAGACAAUCCUCUUUUAACUGUGAAGAAAGGGUUUGCCUUGUGGUACUAAAAAGCCUGACUACAUGUGACAGUGUUUCUGUAUAGUGGUCCAUAUUCCAUGUUCUGAAGAUAUAUUUAGCUAGUCAAAUAGUUUCAGACGGUGAAACAUACUUUUACUGUUUAUGAUUGGGGCUGAUUCAAGUAACUAUUUUUUAUAUGAACUAUAUUACAUUAUUUUACACCACUUUGAGGCCUAGAGAGAGAUUUGUCUGAUCCAUGUUAAAACCCUCAGUAUGGCUAGUGUUAAGCAGAAGUAGUCCUACCCCAUCAACAUGAUGCACAGUUACAUACGGGGCUGAAUGGUCAAUUGCUCAUUGUGUGUCAUUUGGAAUUUACAUCACCAAAGCACAACACCAACAUAAUCAUAAAAAGCGUCUUAAGUAAGGUCCCGCUUUAUUAAUAGGGACCAAACACCUUAUUGUUUUCAAUGAAGCCAGUACUGUGAAUCCUUUUCAUGUUAAUUUAUUAGAAUUAAGUGCCUUAGAUGAGUGCUAAUGACGAACGCAUUAUCUGCAAUAGAAGUGGAUGAAACCACGUUUCACUUUGUACCUGUAUGUGUUCGCUAUUCAUUUGUAAAUAAAAGCAUAUAAACUUU